GGGGAUGGUGCAGUUGGCUAGCAUUCUUGGUUUGCUCCCUGUUGGUUAUGUGUUCAACUCCCACUCCUCA